AUUGAACGCUGGCGGCAUGCCUUACACAUGCAAGUCGAACGGCAGCACGGGGCAACCUGGUGGCGAGUGGCGAACGGGUGAGUAAUGCAUCGGAACGUACCUUUCAGUGGGGGAUAACGUAGCGAAAGUUACGCUAAUACCGCAUAUUCUGUGAGCAGGAAAGCAGGGGAUCGCAAGACCUUGCGCUGAUUGAGCGGCCGAUGUCAGAUUAGCUAGUUGGUGAGGUAAAGGCUCACCAAGGCGACGAUCUGUAGCGGGCCUGAGAGGAUGGUCCGCCACACUGGAACUGAGACACGGUCCAGACUCCUACGGGAGGCAGCAGUGGGGAAUUUUGGACAAUGGGGGCAACCCUGAUCCAGCCAUGCCGCGUGAGUGAAGAAGGCCUUCGGGUUGUAAAGCUCUUUCGGCUGGGAAGAAAUCGCACGGGCUAAUACCCUGUGUGGAUGACGGUACCGGAAUAAGAAGCACCGGCUAACUACGUGCCAGCAGCCGCGGUAACAC
rnacentral:rRNA from 1 species